GACGAACGCUGGCGGCGUGCCUAAUACAUGCAAGUCGAACGAACCGCGACUAAGUGCUUGCACUAAGUCAAGGUGAGUGGCGAACGGGUGAGUAACACGUGGGUAACCUACCUCAUAGUGGGGGAUAACAGUCGGAAACGACUGCUAAUACCGCAUAGGACAUAGGAUCACAUGAUCCAGUGAGGAAAGGUGGCGCAAGCUAUCGCUAAGAGAUGGACCCGCGGUGCAUUAGCUAGUUGGUAGGGUAAAGGCCUACCAAGGCGAUGAUGCUUAGCCGACCUGAGAGGGUGAUCGGCCACAUUGGGACUGAGACACGGCCCAAACUCCUACGGGAGGCAGCAGUAGGGAAUCUUCCGCAAUGGACGCAAGUCUGACGGAGCAACGCCGCGUGAGUGAAGAAGGUCUUCGGAUCGUAAAGCUCUGUUGUUAGAGAAGAACAGCGCAUAGAGUAACUGCUAUGCGUGUGACGGUAUCUAACCAGAAAGCCACGGCUAACUACGUG
rnacentral:rRNA from 1 species